AAGUUUCAAAAAGAAAGGUGGUUUUAUUACUUAUCGUGGAAACCACUCUCAGCUUUCCAUAUAAAGCAAAAAGAAGAUUAAGCUUCACAGAAAGCUCCGAAAGCUUGCCGUCUUCUCCUUUUUUCUCUCUAUGGUUACUGCAAUAACAGUUAAGCUAAAUACAAGUAAGCUUCUUCUUCUUUAUUUCUUUUGCUUUCUUCCUUCUUAAAAUACUUUCUCUCUCUCUCUCUCUCUCUAUUUCUAUUUUUCUCAUUGAAAAUCGGGGAGAAAUCAACAGUUGA
rnacentral:lncRNA from 1 species